AACGAACGCUGGCGGCAGGCUUAACACAUGCAAGUCGAACGGGUGUAGCAAUACAUCAGUGGCAGACGGGUGAGUAACACGUGGGAACCUUCCUAGAGGUACGGAACAACUCAGGGAAACUUGAGCUAAUACCGUAUACGCUCUUGCGAGGAAAGAUUUAUCGCCUUUAAGACGGGCCCGCGUCGGAUUAGCUAGUUGGUGGGGUAACGGCCUACCAAGGCGACGAUCCGUAGCUGAUCUGAGAGGAUGAUCAGCCACACUGGGACUGAGACACGGCCCAGACUCCUACGGGAGGCAGCAGUGGGGAAUCUUGGACAAUGGGCGCAAGCCUGAUCCAGCCAUGCCGCGUGAGUGAAGAAGGCC
rnacentral:rRNA from 1 species